AGUCGUAACAAGGUUUCCGUAGGUGAACCUGCGGAAGGAUCAUUAACACUAAAAAAACAAACCCAAUUGAUUGAGGCACUUUUUUUCUUCUUUCUUUCUUUCUUUCUGAGAGAGAGGGAGAGAGGAGAGAGAGAGUCUCUUUCUCUUAAAACACCCUUGUGAACCAGUUUGUGUGCGUUAAGAGGUCUUUUUUUUUGGAUGGCCUUUUGAGUAUUUAUUUACUCGAGAGGCUUUUUAAAAGAAAGAGACUCCUUUUCUCUCACUUACAACCCCUUUUUUUUCAAUAUUUUAUUAAACACCUUUAACCCAAACCAAAAACCAAAACCAAAAACAAUAAUAAUAAACAAAAAGUAACAACUUUUAACAAUGGAUAUCUUGGUUCUCGC
rnacentral:misc_RNA from 1 species